GGACCCGUGGUGUAGUGGUCAACAUGCCUCCCUGUCACGGAGGAGAUCGCCGGUUCAAAUCCGGUCGGGUCCGCCA
rnacentral:tRNA from 1 species